rnacentral:tRNA from 1 species
UGUGGUGUGGCUCAGCAGCAGAGCGCUUGCCUAGCACCUGCGAAGCCCUGAGUUCGAUCCUCAGUACCACAU